GUUUUUAUAGUUUAAAUUUAAAACAUUGGUCUUGUAUACCAAAAAUAAAUAAAUUAUUUUAAAUUCA
rnacentral:tRNA from 2 species